AUAUUAACGUUGAGAAGGAUCAGUAGGACUGAGCAGUGAUACAGAGAGUAUGCGGGCGGUGUGAGCAUAACACUUAUCAGUUUGAACUCACCUUUGAGUUUCUUGUUGAACAGAGUAAACAAGAACGGUAUUUCCCGUUAUGAAAUUGAGUGUCGGCAUUUUGCCGAAAUUUAGGUGGUACCGCGAGUAAUUCGUCCUAUAC
rnacentral:ncRNA from 1 species